CUUUAUUGAAUUUUUUUAAAAAGAAGCCUGGGCCUGACGUGAAUAGAGAGCGACUCAUUCCAAUCGUUGAUUGUGUCAUACUUUGUGGUCGUCAAGAAAUUGCUCUACGAGGGCAUAAAGAUUAUGGAAAAAUUGAUAUGAAAUGUUCAUUAAAUCAAGGCAACUUUAGAGCCAUAUUAAAGUAUAGAGCAUAUGGUGAUGAGAUGUUAAAGCAUAUCAUUACAAGUAAAGGACGAAACAAAUACCUAACUCCUCAAAUCCAAAAUGAAAUCAUAACGGCAUGUGGGGACAUUAUGCUGCAAAAAAUAGUUAAGAAUGUAAAUGCUUCAAAAUGUUUCUCAGUUUUAGUUGACGAGAUUACUGAUAUUUCUACUAUUGAACAAAUGGCUAUGUGUGUUUGAUAUGUUGACGAUAACGAUUGUAUCCAUAAGAGAUUCCUGAAAUUUAUUACUAUUAAUAGCUUAACUGGUUGUGAUUUAGCUGAAUCAAUACUCAACGGUCUGAAUAGUUGUGAAAUUAAUUUAGAUUACUUAUAUGGUCAAGGAUAUGAUGGUGCAAGCAACAUGUCUGGCCAAUAUAAAGGUGUUUAGGCAAUUAUAAAAAAAAAAAUAUCCUAAAGCUAUAUAUGUGCACUGUGCAGCACACUCUCUGAACUUAGCAGUAUCAACUGCAAGUGGAAUUCAACCAAUUAGAAACUGCUUAGAUAUUAUCGAAAAGUACUAUGUUUUCUUUAAUACACCAAAACGCCAAAAUGUUCUUUUAACCAACAUUGAAAAUAGUAAUGAGGAUCCUAAGGUUACAACUAAAAAGAUUAUGUGCUACACGAUAGGUGCAGCGUUAUGAUACGGUAACAGAUUUCAUUGAACUAUUUGCAUUUGUAGUUGAAUCAUUAGAAAAUAUUUCUAAUUGGAAUGAUUCCACAGCAACGGAAGCUAAUAUACUAUUAAAAGCUAUUGAUUCAGAAUUUCUUAUAUCCUUACAAGUUAUACAAUUGGUUUUUUCUUUUGAUUUACCAUUGUGUAAGUUGCUACAAAAAGAACAAAUUGAUUUGAGAGAAGCAGUAAGCCUUGCUGAAGAUAUUAUAAAUGUAUUAAAAAAUAUCAAAUUAAAUUGUGUUACUGAAUUCCACAAAUUAUUUUUGCUUGCAAAAAGAGGUCAGUAAUUAUAGAUAUAGACUUGAAUACUAAAAGAAUAUCUAAACGAUAAGUAAAUUGAGCAAAUCCAGAUCCCAAUUUAAGUGUUGAAGAAUACCACAAAGUGUCAGUAUUUAUACCCUACCUGGACUUUUUUAUACAACAACUAGGAGAAAGAUUUUCAAUCCGUUCUGAAAUUUUUAAAGGAUUUCAAAGUCUAUUUUCCUAUACAUUAACUUCUAAUGAGGAGGUAUCAUUUAGAAAAUUACUUGAAUUUUAUUCACCUUCUUUGGAUGUGAACAACUUAAUUGCAGAAUUGAAAUUGUGAAAGAUAAAACUUGAGCGAAUAAACAAUAUUCCGAAAACUGCAAUUGAAGCAUUACAUGUGUGUAAUGCCAAUAUUUACCCAAAUGUGCAUUUUAUUUUAAAAAUACUAUGCACACUUCCUGUUUCUACAAGUACGCCUGAAAGAAUGUGUUCCAGUCUUUAAAAGGAUAAAAACAUAUCUUCGAAACAGUAUGUCUGAGAAAAGACUUAAUGGUCUGGCAAUGUUGGCAAUUCAUAAUGAUAUUACAUUUUCAAAUGAAGAGGUCAUUGAUGAACUUGCCAAAAAGCCUAGGAAUCUGGACAUCAUAUUGUAAAAUAUUAAAACAUUUUAAAACAUAUUUGUAAAUGUAUAAUGUU